rnacentral:rRNA from 1 species
AUGGGGAGUAUCAUGAAACUAUAUUACGAGUGGGAAAUCCAGGUGCUUGUGCUCCUUAGCUUCAUGCUACAAAUGUUCCUCUUCUUCGCCGGCAGCCUUCGGCGGCGUGGCAUCAACUCGUUUCUCAGGUUCUUCACUUGGAUAGCUUAUCUGGGCGCGGACUUAGUGGCAGUUUACACCCUGGGCUACCUCUCGCGCCAUGAGGAUGCCACCACCGGACUAUCUUUCUUCUGGGCACCAUUUCUUCUCAUCCAUCUUGGUGGGCAGGACACCAUUACUGCUCUCGCCAUGGAGGACAACAAGUUGUGGUUGAGACAUUUACUGACUCUGUUUAUGCAAGUUGUCCUAGCUUUAUAUGUUUUCUGGAAGUCCAUUGACAAACACGGCGUGGAGCUUCUAGUUUCGGAUGUCUUUGUGUUUGCUGCUGGAAUUAUCAAGUAUGGAGAAAGGGUAUGGUCUCUCAAGUGUGGGAGCUUUGAAACCCUCCAGGGUUCCACUGGACAACAGUACAAGCAACAGGUGCCGGGAGAGGUUGCCGAGGAUCCCUAUUCUCACAUUGUUUGCGCUGUCCUGCAUCGUAUGCCACGUGUCUUUCGAAUCUUUACAGCACGAUCAGGUGAUAGCGGUAACGUUAUCCAACAAACCCCAAGCAAUUGGGUGAAGCGGAUGAGGCUCGAGCUUGGCAUGAUGUACGAUGAUCUGUAUACUAAGUCCUGUGUGCUCAGGACAAGGAGUGGCAUCAUAUUGCGAUGCAUCUCUCAGGUGUCUGUUCUGGUUGCCUUGGUGCUCUUCCUCACGAGCGACAAACGGAGGUACAAUAGAGCCGACAUUGCAAUCACCUGGUCGCUCUUCGUAGGAUGCUUUUUGUUGGAAGUAUGUGCCACGUUUAUUUUGAUAAUGUCACCAUGGUCCUGGGCGUGGUUGAAGAUGCGAAGGUGCGGCAUGCUUGCAAAGUUGUCCUGGUUUCUCCUGUGCAGUGGCAUUGGAUGGCCAGAGAGGAAGCCAUAUCUAAAUUCAAUUGGGCAAUACAACUUCCACAGGUGGUUGGAUUCAGGCAGCGACCAGCCAAGGUCAUAUAGUCGACGAGCAAUGACCACGGUGAUCAAAAGCUUGGUGAAUUUGGUUGGUGUCAAAGAGGAUAAAAUGUUGUUCUGGAUGAGCAGGUUGUUAGACACCGAGCACGUGGAGGCAGAUAAGGAGACGAUGGAGUGUGUUGUCAAGGGAAUUACUGACUUCCAUGCUGAAAUCAACAGAGAUCCCCGGCAGUGGCCAAAACUUGGCGGCAUAGUGCAAGAGCUACAAGACAUUCGUGAAGAUUUUGGUGGAAAGGUUGCUUUAGUGCAUUUUAUCACAGAGGCACACUUGAGGAAAUAUCCUCUUCAUCCUCCUUCGGACAUGGAGACAGACACAGGUACCAGCUGCAGUGUCUUGGUGGAAGUAUGCCGGAAACUAUCCAACUACAUGGCAUACCUUUUGGUUACCCACCCUUCGCUGUUGCCGCUCAAUGACAGCGCCUUAUAUACGCUGGAGAAAAUGGCACACUUGUUUCCACAUCUUAUAGAUGAGCAGCAGGAUUCUGAAGGUUUCUUCAGCAUCGAGCCAAGCAUGGAAACACUGCAGGAGUUGGUAGACAUAUGGACCAAGCUGCUCAUCUAUGCGGCCACCAAGUCCCGGCCGGAGCUGCACGCGGCGCACUUGGCCAGAGGAGGGGAGCUUAUCACCUUCGCCUGGCUGUUCUUGAGCCACAACUUUUUGGGAGAUUCCGAGGUGAUCAAGGUGCAGCUUACCAAUGCCAAUCAAAGAGGGACGAUAGCAUACGUCUUCGGAAAUCCUGCACCAAGAUAA